UACAGAGGUCCCAAGCGUUGUUCGGAUUCACUGGGCGUAAAGGGUGCGUAGGCGGUCGGGUAAGUCUGACGUGAAAUCUCCGGGCCUAACCCGGAAACUGCGUCGGAUACUAUCCGGCUAGAGGAUUGGAUGGGAGACUGGAAUACUUGGUGUAGCAGUGAAAUGCGUAGAUAUCAAGUGGAACACCAGUGGCGAAGGCGGCGCUCUGGGCCGGAACUGACGCUGAGGAGCGAAAGCGUGGGUAGCAAACAGG
rnacentral:rRNA from 1 species